AUCCAAUUGACGAGUCCAAAACAGAACGUAAUGCUCAUCUUAUAU
rnacentral:hammerhead_ribozyme from 1 species